rnacentral:rRNA from 1 species
GACGAACGCUGGCGGCGUGCCUAAUACAUGCAAGUCGAACGCAGUGGGGACGGGUGAGUAACACGUGGGUAACCUCCCAUCAGAGGGGAUAACACUUGGAAACAGGUGCUAAACCGAUACUGAUGGAUGGAACCGCGGUGCUUUAGCUAGUUGGUGAGGUAACGGCUCACCAAGGCCACUAUGCAUAGUGGAUCUGAGAGGGUUAUCGGCCACACUGGAACUGAGACACGGCCCAGACUCCUACGGGAGGCAGCAGUAGGGAAUAUUAGUCAAUGGGCGCAAGUCUGACUGAGCAACGACGCGUGAGUGAAGAAGGUUUUCGGGUUGUAAAAUUCUGUUGUUAGAGAAGCGUUACCUAAACAGAAAGCCACGGCUAACUACGUGCCAGCAGCCGCGGUAAUUC